rnacentral:lncRNA from 10 species
AUUUUAUCAAUAAUUUUUAAGCUGUUUUUAUUUUCCAAAGAUUACUAAAGUUACAUGAAUAAAAGGCAUUACAGUUUUUAUUUUAAAAUAUUUAAGUGCUUAUUUUUGUUUAAGCCAAUUAGAGCUCUUUUAUAUAAACAUUACACACACAACAACACAUAUAUAACUACACAGACAGACUGAAGAAGAUUACUACAGUAGUUGUAAGAUUUUUUCCCAGUUUUUAAGUUUCUUAAUUGGAUUAUUCACUUUAGGGCGGAGUCCUCGGAGGAACAGGGCCAGGAAAGGGUCUCUGGUGCCUCCUGUUUUUCCCAAGGAGCUCCAGGCUGUUAGAGCCUGAAUAUCUGCUUUUAAUUAAGCUGACUUUUAACCAUAGAACUCUUUAAUAAAGUCUUUCUAAAAUUUCUUAUUACCUGACUUUAGCCAGGCCAAAUGGCUGAUAUUUCUGGCUUUUAAACUUUACCAAAAGUAACCUCAUAGGUGCUCUGAGAAGGGAAAAUUCAAGACAGUUGGUGGAGGGGAAGAGAAUUUAAAAAUGGCAAAGGUCACCCAAAUAUUAAUCAGAAAGGUUCAUCCCUUAAUCUAGGGAUUGAACCCUGAACCCGGGCCGCCAUUCUGAAAAGAGAAAGCAUGGCCACAUAAUUACAAGGUCAAGCUCCCAAGGACAUAACUGACCAAUUUGCUGAGCCAUCUUGUAAAGUGGGCUUAUGGGCGUCCUAAGCCUGUGUUCUAUCCUAAGGUACCCCUCUUUAUGACAGAACAACACAGAAAGACACGCAAAGCACACCAGAUUUGCUACAGUUUAAGACCAGCCUCACAAAUCCUUUCUUCCAUUAAUCAAAAUUUACAGAGGAGAUAAACAGUGAUUUUUACCAUUCAUUCAAUGAGUUUGCACAGAGAGAGAGAGAGAGAUCAGAAGUCUGACUGGUAAGAAAUUCUUACCCUUUUGCCGGCAUACCAGGCUUCUGGGUUCUCUUUCCCUGAGUGGCCCUAAUGACCCAGCUGGCUGCACCAUAGUCCUGGGGGCCAAGACACAACACAAAGGAAAAUUUUCUUUUUUCAUUCUGGCCAGAGCAAAAUAUGUGUGAUAAAACACAGACAUUAGCCACUCUGCUUAGCAGCCAAUAUCAAACUGGCAAGACUUAAAUUUGCCCCCAGAUGGGCCCCAUUGUCUUUAAUCCAACCUCUGACUAGGAGUUUCAACAUAUGGUCUCUGGGCAAGAUGGUUUCCCUGAGUAACAGAAAAGAUAGGAAAGGAAAGGUAGAGAAAUAAAAGUAUUACCCAUGGCAGGAUGGGGAAGGUGAAGAGCUCAGGAAGGCCAGAGCAAGACCGACUCUUUGCAGCAAUACUGCAAAGUUCAGGCGGCCGAAUGUCAGUAGCAAAGAUGUCUUUUCCAGCAGUCCCAUCAGCUCUCAAGUUUCCCCAUUUGGGAGGAAAAAUCUCCCUAUGUGCCACUAUCCUGUACAUACAUGCCUAAUCUUGUCACCCACAACCAUCAGCAAAGAGUACAAGGCAAAUUAUUCCAAAGAGAAUAGCAGUUAACAUUCCAUAGUGCCUAACCCGUUCUUAGCCAAAAGGGACUUUACUGAGAGCCCUCAUUUUAAAAUGUACUUCAAUGUGUUGCUCAUUCAGAACAUUCCACUGUAAGUUAUCUUUAGUAAGAUUUUGCCAUUUCUGUGAGACUUUGCUGCCUCCUAGGCCUAAUGUGUAAUCCAGAAGGAACUCAGUUUUCCAGAAAUUAAGAAUCCUAUUUUUAACUAAAAUAUUGGCUUUAUUCUCAGGUUCUCUUAAUUAACUUAGCCAAUGAUUUUUCCUACUUAAGUGCGCAAGAAAAAUGAAACAAAGGGGUAGAACACAAAAAUUCCUGUGAAUUUUCAAAAGCCAAAUUUUAUAACCCCUGCAAUAUUACUGCUUACUACCAGUUUGUUUCUGACUCAGUCAUAUGUAAAAGGCCUCUAACUGGAUCAAAGCCAGUUAAUUCCCGGAUCAAAUCCAUUCCUGUACCCAGCCCAGUUUGUGUCAUGACUUCCAAACCCAGUUUGAAUCAGGAAUUUGCUCAAAGAAACUCAGAGAGCUCAAAACACAAAUCUGUGGAGCUCUGAAAUCUGAGAGCUUACCCACAAUCCUCAGCUGCUCCAAGAGAUCAGUGGACACAAGUGGGUCCUGCAGGUACCAUGCAUAUUCACUCAGCACUCCUGGGGGUUGCUAGAGGCUCUACCUCGAAUCCCACUUCUGACACAACCUGAUAAAAGAAAAACUUCAGCCAAAUUAAAUUUAAAGGAGUUUAACUGAGCAAUGAAUGAUUUGUGAAUUGGGCAGCCCCCAGAAUCACAGCAGAUUCACAGAGACUCCAGUGCAGCCACAUGGUGGAAGAAGAUUUAUAGACAAAAAAAGGGAAAUGACGUACACAAAUCGAAAGUGAGGUACAGAACGGUUGGAUUGGUUACAGGUUAGCCUUUGCCUUAUUUGAACACAGUUUGAACACUCAGCAGGGUAUGAAUGGUUGAAGUAUGGCAUCUGGGAUUGGCCCAGACUUAGCUAUUGUUACAGGCACAUACUCCUAAGUUUUCGAUCUUGUCUACCUAUUAAGCUAGGUUGCAGUUCAUCCACAAAAACUUAAAUAUAGAAGUAUAGAGCCCUCAGGCCAUAUUUAGUUCACUUUAACACACUCUUCUGUGCAUUCUGAAUUAUAAUCCUCAUUUCUUCUCAUUCCCAAGUAAACUCAACAUAUUUAGAGAUAAUUUUCUCUACUUUUUUUUUUAGGUUGACAGUUUCAAAGCAGUUUGCAGGGAUUUCUCUUUGUCUUUAAAAACUCCCUUUUGUCCUGAUUUUCCUCAGGUGGGCUAUGACUUUCGUAGAUGCUGAGUGGAUUAAAACAAAGAGUUUUUCACAUUAUACUCUCAGAACACACUUUUUUAAAAAAAAAAUCUUUAAUCAUUGGCUAUCACAACAUGCUUCUGACACCAGAUGGGGAUUUCUCCCCACACACUAAGCAAGCAAUCAGUUCUGCAGCGGAUAGCAGCUCGGUUUCCUUUGUUCAGUUCGACUCUACUUGAAUGCCAAUCACAAGCCCCAGGUUGCUUUAGCUGUAUUCUGGCCUACCAGCUAUAAAGUAUGGAUCCUAGGACCCCCUUUGGAUUUGAUUAAUUUGCUAGAGCAGCUCACAGAAUUCAAACACUUAGGUUUCCUGGUUUAUUAUAAAGCAUACAGAUGAACGGAUGCACAGGGCGAGUUAUGGGGCUGAAAGCUCCACGCUUUCUGUGGGUCAGCCACCCUCCAUGAACCUCCACGUGUUCAGCUACCCAAGCUCUCCAAACCUAGUCUUUUUGGGGUGUUUAUGGAGGCUUCAUUACUUAGGCAUGAUUGACUAAAUCACUGGCCAUAGGUACUCAGUUUAACCUUCAGUCCCUUUCCCCUCCCCAGACAUGGGGAGGUGGGGAUGAGGCUGAAAAUUCCAAUCCUGCCUUGAUCUUUUCAGUGACCAGCCCCAUUCUGAAGCUACCUAGGGGCUGCCAGCCACCAGCCAACUCAUUAGCAUACAAAAAAUCACUUACUUAUAGAGAUUUCAAGGACUUCAGGUGUUGUAUGCCAGGAAAGACCUUUCACCCUCAAGAUUUGCUGAAAAUCAUCUGACAAAACAGCGAUGAAUAUAUAUGACACACAAAUUUAUUAAUAUGAUGGGAGAAAAUCUCAGAGUGACUACCCCACCACUGAGUGGGGUACAGAUGGUUACUUGCCCUUAAGGGCAAGGGAGAUGGGGAAGCAUAAAUGAUUUUAGGAGCUCAGUAAAUGAUUUUUAGGGGAGUUCAAUGGGCUUGAAGAACAUACAAUGGCCUCCACGAAGUCUGUUGGGCUCAGAGGGUAGACGGUGGUUUGUGACAUCUGUCCAGGUGGACUGACUUCAGACUUUCUCCCUGCAAUAUGAAUUCAGUUAAUAAAAACUCAGGGAAGGGACCAGAGAUAAUUGUUUCCUUCUUUAGGCAGAUAAGGGAGCUUCAGAGAACAACUUUAUCCUGUGCUUUGGGAGAGACAGAGAAUUGGGAGACAUGAGGUGGGGAAGGUCAGAGAGACCUUGCAGCUUCUUCAUUUCUGCAUGUCAAAGCGCCAUAUUUUGGGGAUAUCUGUUUCUGAGCCCCCAAAAUGGAGACAAAGCCUAAAUAUGUAUAUUUCACAAUAUCAUACAUGCAUACCUUUGGUUGCAAUCUUUUGCUAUUCUCAAAUAAAAUGUUUUCUUUUAGGAAGCCAGUCUUUCUAAGGCUGACAACCCAAGGGGGUGGCAUGGGUUGACUUAAGCCAGGCCUGCACAGUGGUGACCUAAGUCACUGCAGGGGCAAGUGGGGUGGGCCAGUGCAGAGCUGUGACAUAAGCAGGUGACUUUCCCUAUCAGAACUUUCAGUUAAGUCACUUCCAUGGAAGAAGGGGCUCUUCUAUGAAGAGCCUCUGUAACAGUACUGACUCCAUGUUAGAGGAAAGCUUGCUUGCUUGAAUACAAUUAUUGCUUUGCUUGAGUCUUUAGAUUAUUCACUAAAAACAGCCUCAGAAAAAGAGGACCUUCAACAGAGAUUUUUUAAAAUGUGCCAACCAACAGCUCUGGGAAUGAAUUGGCCGGCCUGACCAUACCCACAGAAGGCCACAAAGCAUUGACCAAGAAGGCAAGGAUUAAAUGCCCACCUGAGAAUGCCCACGUUUCACAAGAAUGUUUUCAUUAUUCUCCCUAAUUUCCCUUAAAAACCCCUGAUUUAGAAGCAUGACUCAGAAAGGUGAUCUUUGAACCCUAGUUCACUGCCUUCCCUGGGUUGCUGGCUUCUUGAAUAAAGCUAACUUUCCUUUCACCAAAGCUUGUCUCUUGAGUUUUUGCCUUUCAAGCUACAAGUGGCCCAGACCUGAGUUCAGUUACACCUCUGCUAGCAACAGCCAGCACCACCAAUGAACAAACACUGCCUGCAAUAAGCCCCUGUGAACAGUAAUUUAUGUUUCAAAAUAUCUUACAUGCACUUACUCUUUUUUGCCUUCAAAAGCUUCCUCUUGCCCCAACCCCUCAAAUAUGCUUAUGGUCCACAAAAGCACAUGCAUCCCAGAUUGCAAUUCCUUGGCUAUUA